rnacentral:lncRNA from 1 species
AGGGGACUCACCCAGGGACAACAGACCAGCACGCUGGGACUAUCUGGGCAGCUCGUACACGGCAAGCGGGGUGGCUUAGGCACUAUUGUGUGAACAGGGAAUUCACACGGGAUAGAACAACAUCCCUUCCUCAGGGAGCUUCUGCCCUAGAGAGAGAGCUCUGCUGUGGGUCAGGGUGUUUUCAUCGACUCCCACUCACCCUGCUGGUGAAGGAGGGAUUCUCAUCCCAGGGUUAUGGGGAUGGCCCAACACACAACGUUGACACACUGGACAGAAGACACAGACAAAAGUUUCUGAGGCUUAUAUGCCCACAGCCUGGGAGAGGAGGGGGAGGAGCAGACCUCUACAGCGACCAAGGAGGAGGGCCAGAUACAACUAACUGGAAGCUGAGGAGCGGGUUCUCAACUUGACCCUCUGAGGGCACAGGAGACAUUACUGAGCAGGUGCA